rnacentral:rRNA from 1 species
AUUGAACGCUGGCGGCAGGCCUAACACAUGCAAGUCGAGCGUGCGGCGGACGGGUGAGUAAUGUCUGGGAAACCGCCUGAUGGAGGGGGAUAACUACUGGAAACGGUAGCUAAUACCGCAUACCAUCAGAUGUGCCCAGAUGGGAUUAGCUAGUAGGUGGGGUAACUGCUCACCUAGUCGACGAUCCCUAGCUGGUCUGAGAGGAUGACCAGCAACACUGGAACUGAGACACGGUCCAGACUCCUACGGAAGGCAGCAGUGGGGAAUAGUGGACAAUGGUCGCAAGCCUGAUGCAGCCAUGCCGCGUGUGUGAAGAAGGCCUUCGGUUUGUAAAGCACUGUCAGCAGGGAGGCGUUAUCCGCAGAAGAAGCACCGGCUAACUCCGUGCCAGCAGCCGCGGUAAUUC